rnacentral:rRNA from 1 species
GGGGUAUUGUGUUUUCGGACCUAGAGACCGGCGCACGGGUGCGUAACGCGUAUGCAAUCUACCUUUUGCAGAGGGAUAGCCCAGAGAAAUUUGGAUUAAUACCUCAUAGUAUAGCGACUUGGCAUCAUGGUGCUAUUAAAGUCACAACGGCAAAAGAUGAGCAUGCGUCCCAUUAGCUAGUUGGUAAGGUAACGGCUUACCAAGGCAACGAUGGGUAGGGGUCCUGAGAGGGAGAUCCCCCACACUGGUACUGAGACACGGACCAGACUCCUACGGGAGGCAGCAGUGAGGAAUAUUGGACAAUGGGCGCAAGCCUGAUCCAGCCAUGCCGCGUGCAGGAUGACGGUCCUAUGGAUUGUAAACUGCUUUUAUACGAGAAGAAACACUCCAACGUGUUGGAGCUUGACGGUAUCGUAAGAAUAAGGAUCGGCUAACUCCGUGCCAGCAGCCGCGGUAAUACGGAGGAUCCAAGCGUUAUCCGGAAUCAUUGGGUUUAAAGGGUCCGUAGGCGGUUUGGUAAGUCAGUGGUGAAAGCCCAUCGCUCAACGGUGGAACGGCCAUUGAUACUGCCAGACUUGAAUUACUGGGAAGUAACUAGAAUAUGUAGUGUAGCGGUGAAAUGCUUAGAGAUUACAUGGAAUACCAAUUGCGAAGGCAGGUUACUACCAGUGGAUUGACGCUGAUGGACGAAAGCGUGGGUAGCGAACAGGAUUAGAUACCCUGGUAGUCCACGCCGUAAACGAUGGAUACUAGCUGUUGGGAGUAAUCUCAGUGGCUAAGCGAAAGUGAUAAGUAUCCCACCUGGGGAGUACGAACGCAAGUUUGAAACUCAAAGGAAUUGACGGGGGCCCGCACAAGCGGUGGAGCAUGUGGUUUAAUUCGAUGAUACGCGAGGAAACCUUACCAAGGCUUAAAUGUAGAUUGACCGGGUUUGGGAAACAGACUUUUCGCAAGACAAUUUUACAAGGUGCUGCAUGGG